AGCAUUCUGAACAGCAAUGCUCAUCACAUAAACAUGAAGUUUCCUCCAAAAGGAAUGAUGACUAAUGCUUUGAGGAAACAGCAGACGUCAGACAGCAAGCCCAGAAAAACCUGCCAGCACCAAGAGGGUGUCCUCAACAGGCGCCUGGGGGACAUAUUAUUCUAACUAAAGAGACCAGAGCUUCCCCAGGAAGGGAAGAGGAGAGAAAUGAAGAACGUCUGUGUUCAUGUUUGCCAAAAACAAAAGUCUGAGAAAUCUCUGAGAGACUCUACAUGGGAGGUGAAAUUUACCUUUUCUAAGACCAUUGUUGAUUUUCCUUUUACCCUUGAAGUGGACUGAAAUAUCACUAAUGGUGAGAGGAAAGCUCAGAGGUUCUAUUAAAGAAUGUGAAAUAGGUUAAUGCACUAAUCGAAGCACCUCAUUUAAAGUGAGAAAAGCUUUGCUAAGGGCAGAUGAUUCAGCACGGUAUCCUUCGAUGAGUACUGUCAUCUCAAAUCCUUUUUAAGAAGAAAAGUGCAACCCACUGGAGAAAGAGAGGGACUCCGAGGAAGGAGAGAGAGAAGAGGAUCAAGCACAAAUGAUGAUCUCCUAGGACAGUGGCAGCUUCUGAGAAUGCACAGGAAAGUGACCAGGGAAAGAAUGAUUCCAUCUCCAGGAAUCCCUGGUGAUCUUCAGAGCCCAGACAGGACCCUGCUGGGCCAUGGUAACUGCUUAAUCUUGGCCUGGUGUGCCUCAUUUUUAUAGGACUUCUGAAACCAGAAAUCACCAGCGUGGGGAGAGAACAUUAAAGGCAGAGGUGUCUCUUAUAAGCACAACGUGUGACCAGGUAAUACUGUCUGGAUUAGCAGCUGUACAGCCUAACUAAGCCCUGGAGCUACAAUUAUCUGGUCGCAUUAAACUGAAAUCACCUGAAAAACUUCACACUGAACAAGCCUUUGGAAAUGUCUAAUCUGCCAGUUUACACCCAGAAGUGAAAGUGGAAUUCACUUGUUAAAGACAAGAAAACAAAAGUUUUCUGCCAGGAAGAGUCUCAU
rnacentral:lncRNA from 1 species